GAAGGGUUAGGGUUUCUUUUUAUUAUAAUUGGAUGAUUAAGGAUUUGGAAUCCUGAAAAAUGUUAAUUAGGAAUAAUUAGAAAUUAAGAAUCUGUUAAUGUUAAUAUGUUAAUCCCUGUGAAUGGUAAUUUCUGAUUACCUUCUUAAUUCUAAUUCUAAUUGUUUAAUUCAAUUAGAUAUCUACCCUAAUUAGUUUUCCAAAAGCGGAUUCUUAAAUCAGAAACUUUUCCCUUCGUUUUCUUUCACUUAAUCGGAAACUUUUCCCAUCUUAGCUUCUUCUUCUUCCACGACGAAACUCUGUUUGAGGGUUCUUUGAUCUCGCGCGAGAAGCUAGGGGGCACUCACCUUCAUCCUUUCCUUUCCUGGUUCUAGGUUCGUCUUGGAAGAGAGGGGAGACGUUCUUCUUUCCUUCAUUAUCUGGUACUGUUUCGGUUUCACAAGGGAGCAAAAGACGUUCCUCUUUCCUUGUUCUUUCUCUUGUUUCUGGUGUCGUUCUGGUUGCAGGGAGAGGGAUGCGAAACCAGUUGCUCCGACGUGAUAUCCAUCUUCGCAGCCAGUGGACGUCAUAGUAGCGGCAUCUCUGCGACGACGCAAGGAUUUCAUUCCCGGCGUCUCUGCGGUGACGAGAGUCUCAGUUCUCGGUUCGUGAGCGUUCUUGCGGUGGCGCAUGAUGUUUUGUGUUAGGGUUUCAAAUUGGGGAUUUUGUUUCUACUUUCGCAUUUCUAAUCUUGAAACCUUGGGUUUUAAUUGAUCUUGUGAGGUUGCAUUUUUGGGGUUAGAUCUCAUGAACAUGUUGCUUUGUGUUCGGGUUUUGUUUCUCGAGAUUUUGGAUCUUCCUGUGGUGGUUUUGGGUUCCCGGGGUGGUUGUCGAUGGUUGCAUGAGCGGAGUCAAGGAAGGCGUUGGUGGGUGCGGCGAUGGAUGUAUGGAUGUUGCGAUGGCUGGUCUAGUGAAUCUUUCAUGGGCUUACUUAUUUGGGUCGGGUCAGUUGGACCGUGAAAUCCAUUGAUGAUCAGAAUUGUAAAUUGUAAUAGUAAAGACCAAAUAUAAUAAUAAAAUUUUUAAUCGGGCUGUAGGUCCAUAAUUUGACACCAUUGACGGUGGACUGUGACUGAUUCAACUUAAACUUAAUUAGACUCCAAGUUUGAAGUUUGGACUAUUUUGGGCUUUGGGCCUGGUUGUGCCUGGUGACUCACAAGAAGUCUUGGUUUAAUCAAGGAAUUGAUGAAGACAUACUAAAUUAAAAUUAAUAAUAUGAUAAAGAUUAUGUCUUUGAAAUUAAAAUAAUGGGAAUUAAAAUCAAUUAAUUACUAGUUUACGAAAUGGGAAAUAUGAAAUAAAUAUUAAUUGGUUUUAAAAGAUGAAAAUAAUGAGAUUAUAAUCAUUAAUUAGGAAAUUACUAAUUUUAG
rnacentral:lncRNA from 1 species